UCUAAAACAACAAAAGUUAGUAACCAAGGAGCCUCAAAGAUGUAUCUUAAAGUAGUACAAUUUUGGGGGAAAAGGAACCAAAUGGAAGAGACGAAGCUGAUGAACAAAUGACACAGUAGCAUGUUAGAAAUGAUCAACUGAAAUAGCUUGGAUCUAAAAUAGAGAAAAUCAUUGGUUCAAGCACGCAUAUUUAGGAAAAAGGCUACUCAACUUGAAUGAAACAGACAAUCUGUUUGUUAGAUAGAGAAGGCUGCAGCUCGCCUUGGUCGUGUUGGUUGUUCGGAAGAAAGCAAAGACGUGGAGUUUAAGCUAGGCAUCUGGUUGUCUCUUCUUUCGAUGAGGAGAAGCUGUAUUAGCACACUGGACGAGACAUGAAGUCUCUUUGCUUCCUCAAGACCCAACAAACUCCAGUGUGUCUUUAUUGGUAUCAUACUAUAAAUAUUAAUCUUGGUAGCUUGUGCUUCAACUACCUUAACCUUACCAGUUAAUAAGCAGAGACUAAUACAAAAUCAUGGGUAGUGACCUAAAUAUCCCUCGUGUUGCUGUAAUUUUCUCAGAAAGUGCAAGAAAUCAUAAGUUGUUGAAAGUGAUUCAACUUAUAAAGCUAAAAGUAAGUUCUCUGAACAAAAGGCAGAAAAUUAUGAUCCCAUUUUUCAAGGAUAUAUUUUUUAAUUCUUUAAAAGUAGGGGUGAUAUGUGUGUCUUGACAGUAGCACUAAAAGCUUGAAGAGAAGAGAUGUGAAGAGAGCAUUACCAAGAUUAAUUCUUUUUGCCAGAUCAAAUGAAGCAAAUGUUGCUCAGAAACUAGUAGCUCAAAAGCAUCGUUGAGAAGAGUUGGGGUGCUAUGCCUAUAAUUUGUAGGGACUAGAGAAGACUAUGGUCUGAACUAGCAAGCAAAAUGUAACUGGCAUGUGAAGUGCAAGGGAGGUCAAACUGUCAAAGCUAAGGGCUAUCAUAUCUUCAUCAUUAAGAACAGAAGACCUGAAAGAUGGGAAACUCACACUCUUUGAACUUGGCAUCUUUGCUGUUACUCUUCCAGCCGGAAGUUGGGAAAUGCAAGUCAUGCCUUCUCCAUUCUUCCGUAUUUUGUGCAUGUACCGGUACACACUUCGCUAGGAGAAACAAACUGUACGACUACUUAAAAGAUUGGAGAAUUUAAAGAAGUGCAUAUAACUGAAUCAUACAACCGCUCUCAAAGUCAUCUACAUAACAAGACAAAGGAACCACCCUGGCUAUGUGGUACCGACAUUGUGAUCCUAUCUUUUCAUCCUUUUGACUUAUCAGGAGCCAAGAUACAGGGAGCAGGAGUUCAAUCUCCAUGCUUUUGAGUGAUUUUGUACCUGUGAGAGCUGAGCGAUCUGUUAACAGAACCAUGUUGGAACUACUUCAUGGUCAAUCUUGGGAUGGAUUGCCUGCCAACCGAUGGAGGUUACGGUAUUAUUAUCUACUAGUUGCAUAAUUCUCUUUCCUUUCGGUGAUACUGACCGACCUGAAGGAAGAGAUCCCGAGUGCUAUGGCAAAGUCGUCAACGGAUUCUUCCUUGAGCACCCCCAAGGCGUGGUACCACCGAUACAACGGGUGGACUCUCGAGUCCAUGAACUCGCUGCAUCGACAUGAGAAAAACCGUUUGGGCGGGAUUUGAUCCCAGCCACUUGUUCUGCCAAAAGUACUGUAACGCAAGAAUAUUCUUGUGAAGAUUUUUUUUUCCUGUUUCUGGAUUUGGGACUGGAUGCAAUUCAA